rnacentral:rRNA from 1 species
UACGGAGGGUGCAAGCGUUGUCCGGAUUUAUUGGGUUUAAAGGGUGCGUAGGUGGCCUUAUAAGUCAGCGGUGAGAGUCUGCAGCUUAACUGUAGAACUGCCAUUGAUACUGUAAGGCUUGAGUACUGAUGAGGUAGGCGGAAUUGAUAGUGUAGCGGUGAAAUGCAUAGAUAUUAUCAAGAACACCGAUUGCGAAGGCAGCUUACUAAGGAGUUACUGACACUGAGGCACGAAAGCGUGGGGAUCAAACAGG